GAUGAGACAGGCUCUCGCGCCUAGGCGCCUUCCAACUUCAGGUUCCCUGGAAGCCCGCGUUCAUCUUGCGGUUUAGGAGAUGAUGUGAAAGCAGAAGCAGAAGCCUGUCUUUUAAGAAACAAAACAGGAGGGAGACAAGAGAAUGAUGAAAAAGGAAAUUGUAUGUUUUACAAUCAGAACUCUCAACUGCACCGCAUAGAUAUGACACAGGAUCAAAGUAACCCAUUGAAAUGCACACGGAGAACUUUCUUUGUAUUGCCUGGGACUGGUUUUGAAUGGUUUUCAUCUUUGCAGUAAGAAUCCAAAGAAGAGACUGAGAAUAUAGCAUAUUUAAAUAGAAAGUUACUUGAUAUACUUUUGGUUGACAGCCAUUUAGAAAAUAUUAAGCACCUUCAAUACGCGAGGCCUUGUGCAAGGCUUUGUGAAGUUUGCAUAGAUGAAUCAGAACAUAAGAAAUGAAGCGGUGAUCAUGCUGGGGAGCUCAAGGGUGACUGUGGCCCUUUGAAUGACUAGGAAAAAUCAGAGACCAUUGGUAAUAUACGCUGAGAUGUCCAGAAGGGAAUUUGGGUUAGAAAUCACAGUAUGGUGAGAGAGGGGUUAAAAUCUCAGAUGUGGCAAAUUCAUUUUAUCUCCACACCAACUCUAAUUAACAUCUGCUAGUAUUGUGUUGAGUAGAAUUCUGAGGUCACACCUAAGAUUAAGGAAGAAAUAUGAUGGUAAUUGUUAGCAAUAUCUGGUAUGUUUCUAAUAUGUUACAUCUGUCUGGUGUUUGAAAUCCCUGUUCUAGUCAAUAGGGAGUCCAGUGAAUCUGAAAAAGGGGCAGCUCUCUAUAUUCAGGACAAUAGGUCUUGAAACUCUCAAACUGUUGUUUUCCCUUUAACAUUGGUACUUGGGAAACAAUGAAUUCACUUGAUAAGUAAACUAGGAUAAUGGAAAUUGAUCUCUAAAUUUCUUUCUUGGGAUUUGGCAAAUGCAUAUUAAGGGCUUUGAAAAGUUCCUUAACAAGGGGAAAAAAAAAAACCGGAAAUCCCUAACCACAUGGAGCUUAUAUUCAUAAUGAUGGAGACAAACAAAAAUCAAAGUUAAUAAAUAAAAUGUAUGGUAAGUUAGACAUACAUACAUACAUAAGGGGAAAGCUAAAUCAGUAAAAAGAGGACCUGUGAUUGUGUGAGGCGAUUUGAGUUGAAAAGGAUUCUGAAAUUGUACACUGGGUAACAAAAAGGCCUCACUAAGGAAGUGAUAUUUGAGUAAAGACAUGAAGAGAGCAAGAA